rnacentral:rRNA from 1 species
AACGAACGCUGGCGGCGUGCCUAAUACAUGCAAGUCGAGCGCUGGAGGAUGGUACUUGUACUCACAGGGUGAGCAGCGGACGGGUGAGUAACGCGUGGGGCAUCAGCCUUUGAGCGGGGGACAACAUUGGGAAGCGAAUGAUACUACUGCAUCAAACCUUUAAACACAAGAUUCAAGUUAUAAAGAAGCAAUUGCCUCAUGAAAAGACGAUUCCGCUGUGUAUUAGCUAGUUGGGGAGGGAAAGACCCACAAAAGCGAUGAUACAUAGCCGACCUGAGAGGGUGAUCGGCCACAUUGGGACUGAGCCACGGCCCAAACCCCUACGGGAGGCAGCAGUAGGGAAUCUUCGGAAAUGGACGGAAGUCUGACCGAGCAACGCCGCGUGAGGGAAGAAGGUUUUCGGAUCGUAAAACUCUGUUUGUAGAGAAGAACGUUGGUGAGAGUGAAAAGCUGAUGAAGUGACGGUAACUACACAGAAAGGGACGGCUAACUACGUG